rnacentral:lncRNA from 1 species
CAGUAAAUCUAUUUCAGAAUUGCUAAGAUGAAUAAGUUUUUCCAAUAAGCAUUUGCUUUGUUAUUCAAAACCCUGAGAAGUCUAAAUGAUUGACUGUCCACGAACUGACCUCAUGUUUUGUUAAAAGAAAGAGAAAUCUUUUAUUUUCAUCAAGCUUGAUUAGGAAGUAACAAAUAAAAAAAGAACUAUUUCAGCCAAAUCUAAUAACAAGUAUAGGUCCGGAGAUUGUUUGUAGAAUUCUAUAUAACAAACCCCUGCACAAUAAUUUGGUAUAAAUCAAUUUAAACGGGCAGUAGAAAUUUACAGCAG